rnacentral:tRNA from 1 species
GCUCAUUUAGCCCAGUUGGUAGAGCAUUUCCGUCACAUGGAAGGGGUCGGGGGUUCGAGUCCCUCAAUGAGCA